rnacentral:rRNA from 1 species
UACGUAGGGGCCGAGCGUUGUCCGGAGUUACUGGGCGUAAAGCGUGCGCAGGCGGCGCGUUCUGCCCGGCGUGAAAGCCCCCGGCUCAACCGGGGAGGGUCGUCGGGGACGGGCGCGCUUGAGGGUAUCAGGGGCUGGUGGAAUUCCCGGUGUAGUGGUGAAAUGCGUAGAGAUCGGGAGGAACACCUGUGGCGAAGGCGGCCAGCUGGGAUACACCUGACGCUGAGGCACGAAGGCGUGGGGAGCGAACGGGAUUAGAUACCCGCGUAGUCCCUGAGCGGGCU